UGCUUCCUAUAAUGUGUUCUUGACUCUGCGUGUUACAGCUGCAGCUGUACUGGUGUGACCUGUUGAGACUACAGAGGUGGGUUUCCAUCAGCCACAGGGGACCAAGCAUACGACAUACCUAUUCUUUGGGGAGGAAAAUGAACAUUCGGGAAAAGGAGAUGAGGACCCAUGCAAGAUUAUAAUAGAAGAUCUGGGAAAUUCCUUGAGGGGCACCUACUGUUAUGGGGCUUGGUAUCACAUGUUCUAGAUCCUUGAGGACUUGCCACACUGUCUUCCACAAUGGUUGAGCUAAUUUACAGUACCAUCACUGUUCAAGAAAAUAAGAGAAGACACAAAAAACUGGAAUAACAGAAGAAGCAAUAUCAUGAAAAUGGCCGUACUGCCCAAAGUAAUUUAUGGAUUCAUUGCUAUUCCCAUCAAGCUACCAUGGACUUCUUUAAAGAAUUAGAAAAAAUUACUUUGAAUUUCAUAUGGAACCAAAAUAAAGAGCCCACAUAACCAAGACAAUUAUAAGAAAAAAGAACAAAGGAGGCAUCAUGCUACCUGACUUCCAACUACUGUACAAGGCUACAGUGACCAAAACAGCAUGCAACUGGUACCAAAACAGAUGAACAGACCAAUGGAACAGAACAGAGACCUCAGAAAUCAUGCCACACAUCUACAACCAUCUGGUCUUUGACAAACCUCACAAAAACAAGCAAUGGGAAAAGGGUUCCCUGUUUAAUAAAUGAUGUUGGGAAAACUGGCUAGCCAUAUGCAGAAAACUGAAACUGGGCACCUUCCUGACACCUUACACUAAAAUUAACUCCAGAUGGAUUAAAGAUUUAAACAUAAGACCUAACACCAUAAAAACCCUAGAAGAAAAUCUGGGCAAAACCAUUCAGGACAUAGGCAUAGGCAAGGACUUCAUGACUAAAACACUAAAAGUACUGGCAAUGAAAGCCAAAAUAGACAAAUGGGACCUAAUCAAACUCCACAGCUUCAGCACAGCAAAAUAAACAGUCAUUAGAGUGAAUCAGCAACCAACAGAAUGGGAAAAAAAUUUUGCAAUCUAUCCAUGUGACAAAGGGCUAAUACCCAGAAUCUACAAAGAACUAAAACAGACUUAGAAGAAAAAAACAAACAAGCCCAUUCAAAAGUAGGCAAAGGAUAUAAACAGACAAAACGUGACAAAAACAAGCAAUGGUGUAAGGAUUCCCUAUUUAAUAAAUGAUGUUGAACUGGAUCACUUCCUUACACCUUAUACAAAAUUUAACUCUAGAUGGAUUAAAGAUUUAAACAUUAGGCUGAACACAAUAAGAACUCUAGAAGAAAACCUAGGCAUUACCAUUCAGGACAUAGGCAUGGACAGACUUUAUGACUAAAACACCAAAAGCAAUGGCAACAAAAGCCAGUAUUGACAAAUGGGAUCUAAUUAAAAUAAAGAGCUUCUGCACAGCAAAAGAAACUAUCAUCAGAGUGAACAGGCAACGUUCAGAAUGAGAGAAAAUGUUUUGCAAUCUGUUCUUCUGACAAAGGGCUUAAACAACUUUACAAGGAAAAAAACCCCAUAAAAAAGGUGGGUGAAGGAUUUAAACAGCCUCUUUUGAAAAGAGGAUAUUUAUGUGGCCAAGAAACAUGAAAAAAGCUCAUCAACACUGGUCAUUAGAGAAAUGCAAAUCAAAGCCACGAUGAGAUACCAUCUCAGGAGUCAGAAUGGCAAUCACCGAAAAGUCAGGGAACAACUGGUGCUGGAGAGGAUGUGGAGAAAUAGGAAUGCUUUGACAGUAUUCUUAACUUUUGAGGAACUUCCAUACCGUUUUCCAUAGUGGUUAUACCAUCUUACCUUUCUACCAGCAGUAUAUAAAUGUUCUAAUUUCUCCCCAUCCUGGCCAAUACUUUUUAUUUUUAGUUUUUAAACAUCAUAGCAAUCUGAAGAGGCAUGAGGUAAUAUCUCACUGUAAU